GGUCUGGCAGUGGGAGCAGUGUGUGUGUGUGUGUGUGUGUGUGUGUGUGCGCGCGCACGCGCGCGUGCACACAC
rnacentral:miRNA from 1 species